rnacentral:rRNA from 1 species
CAAUGUCGAACGGGGCAACCCGAAAGGUUUGACCUGGCUCCUGAGAGUCCGCGAGCGGGGGACGGGUGAGGAAUACAUCGGAAUCUACUCUGUCGUGGGGGAUAACGUAGGGAAACUUACGCUAAUACCGCAUACGACCUACGGGUGAAAGCAGGGGAUCUUCGGACCUUGCGCGAUUGAAUGAGCCGAUGUCGGAUUAGCUAGUUGGCGGGGUAAAGGCCCACCAAGGCGACGAUCCGUAGCUGGUCUGAGAGGAUGAUCAGCCACACUGGAACUGAGACACGGUCCAGACUCCUACGGGAGGCAGCAGUGGGGAAUAUUGGACAAUGGGCGCAAGCCUGAUCCAGCCAUACCGCGUGGGUGAAGAAGGCCUUCGGGUUGUAAAGCCCUUUUGUUGGGAAAGAAAUCCAGCUGGCUAAUACCCGGUUGGGAUGACGGUACCCAAAGAAUAAGCACCGGCUAACUUCGUGCCAGCAGCCGCGGUAAUACGAAGGGUGCAAGCGUUACUCGGAAUUACUGGGCGUAAAGCGUGGCGUAGGUGGUCGGUUAAAGUCCGUUGUGAAAGCCCUGGGCUCACCUGGGAACUGCAUUGGAUUCCGGGACAAUAAAGUGGGUAAAGGUACGGAAUUCUG